AUGGCAGCGAAAGAAAACAAAAAACAUGGCGCCGAGGGCCAAGACCAAGCAGAGCUUCCGUGUUGCGCUCCUGACUGUGAAGAGGACCAAGCAGAGCUCCCGUGUUGUGCUCCUGACUGUGAAGAGGGCCAAGCAGAGCUCCUGUGUUGUGCUUCUGACUGUGAAGAGGGUGGUCUCUCUGAGCUAGAAGAGUCGACAGCAAGACCGACAGAACCUGGUGAAGAAGAACCCGAAGCUGCAAGUAGACGCUUAAGUCGCACAAUAUCCUGCUCAGUCAGGGACACUGCUGAAGGGGUCGGAAUAGAAGCACAAGUCCCUAAAGAAGAUAUGCACCCUGGCGCAUGUGCCGCUUCUUCAGGAAGCACUCAGACUCGGGAUGACCAUCCUUGUUGCAGUAGCCGCAGUGAGAACGAGAGCGGCUCUCACCACUAG
rnacentral:rRNA from 1 species